rnacentral:rRNA from 1 species
GACGAAGGAUCCAAGCGUUAUCCGGAUUUAUUGGGUUUAAAGGGUGCGUAGGCGGAUUGAUAAGUCAGUGGUGAAAGCCUGCAGCUUAACUGCAGAACUGCCAUUGAUACUGUCAAUCUUGAAUGUGGUUGAUGUGGGCGGAAUAUGACAUGUAGCGGUGAAAUGCUUAGAUAUGUCAUAGAACACCGAUUGCGAAGGCAGCUCACAAAGCCAUUAUUGACGCUGAGGCACGAAAGCGUGGGGAGCGAACAGG